rnacentral:rRNA from 1 species
UGCCAGCAGCCGCGGUAAUACAUAGGGUGCAAGCGUUGUCCGGAAUUAUUGGGCGUAAAGAGCUCGUAGGUCGUUUGUCGCGUCGAUUGUGAAAAUCUGAGGCUCAACCUCAGACCUGCAGUCGAUACGGGCAAACUAGAGUGUGGUAGGGGAGACUGGAAUUCCUGGUGUAGCGGUGGAAUGCGCAGAUAUCAGGAGGAACACCAAUGGCGAAGGCAGGUCUCUGGGCCAUAACUGACACUGAGGAGCGAAAGUGCGGGGAGCGAACAGGAUUAGAUACCCUGGUAGUCCGCACCGUAAACGGUGGGCACUAGUUGUGGGAACCUUCCACGGUUUCCGCGACGCAGCAAACGCAUUAAGUGCCCCGCCUGGGGAGUACGAUCGCAAGAUUAAAACUCAAAUAAAUUGACGG